UACAGAGGUCUCAAGCGUUGUUCGGAAUCACUGGGCGUAAAGGGUGCGUAGGCCGCACGGUAAGUCAGAGGUGAAAUCCCGGAGCUCAACUUCGGAAUUGCCUCCGAUACUGCCGUGCUUGAGGACUGGAGAGGAGAUUGGAAUUCACAGUGGAGCAGUGAAAUGCGUAGAUAUUGUGAGGAACACUAGUGGCGAAGGCGAAUCUCUGGACAGUUCCUGACGGCUGAGGCACGAAGGCCAGGGAGCAAACGGG
rnacentral:rRNA from 1 species